GACAGAGGGUGCAAACGUUGUUCGGAAUACUGGGCGUAAAGCGCGUGUAGGCUGCUUCGCAAGUCGGAUGUGAAAGCCCUGGGCUCAACCCAGGAAGUGCAUUCGAAACUGCAGAGCUAGAGUCCGGGAGAGGAGAGUGGAAUUCCUGGUGUAGCGGUGAAAUGCGCAGAUAUCAGGAAGAACACCGUGGCGAAAGGCGGCUCUCUGGCAACACGGUACG
rnacentral:rRNA from 1 species